CCCUUAGAUGUCCUGGGCCGCACGCGCGCUACACUGAUGCAUUCAACGAGUUUCACCUUGGCCGAGAGGCCUGGGCAAUCUUUUAAACCUGCAUCGUGAUAGGGAUAGAUUAUUGCAAUUGUUAAUCUUGAACGAGGAAUUCCUAGUAAACGCAAAUCAUCAAUUUGCAUUGAUUACGUCCCUGCCCUUUGUACACACCGCUCGUCGCACCUACCGAUUGAAUGGUCCGGUGAAGCCUCGGGAUUGUGGCCAGUUCACUUUAUUGGGAGUUGGCUGUGAGAACUUGUCUAAACCUUAUCAUUUAGAGGAAGGUGAAGUCGUAACA
rnacentral:rRNA from 1 species